rfam:Rattus norvegicus chromosome 7, whole genome shotgun sequence.
GGGGAUUUAGCUCAGUGGUAGAGCGCUUGCUAGCGCAAGGUCCUGGGUUCAGUCCCCA